AUCCAGUUGACGAGUCCAGAAUAAGAUGAAUCGCGCGUCCUGGAU
rfam:Schistosoma rodhaini strain Burundi genome assembly, scaffold: SROB_scaffold0013405